CCCAGGGGCAGCAAUAGAUGAGAUCUCAGCAGGUACCAGCGGAAAGGCCUCCUGCAGAUUGGCACGGCAAGUACCUGCAUCCAGGCUGGGGAUCUGCCUGUCACUGCAAGGCACCACGGGCUUGUUACAGAUCUGGACCCGUGAAGCUUUGAUGUGCACCAAAACAAACAUCCACACAGACACAGUUGAAAAGUAUGUCAGAAGAAAAGAAGCUGUUAAAAAACAAACCCCAAAGCUUAUCUGUUGAAAGAUUUCCUGUCCUUUGGGAGCCGUAGUGAUUCAUUAAAAGGGCAGAUCUAAGAGGGCCAGAAUUAUCUUAAAGAGCAGCUUACAAUUAAAUCGCAAUUAAUGGAUAAAAGGCCAAGGUUUAGCCUGCCAGCUCCAUCUCUUGGCAGUGGUUUUCACUUGGCUAUUACAACACAUCAGCGAUGUCUCCUCACCCUUCCUUAUCUGUAGGCUGCAGGGAACAGCGUAGUUGUGUUGCCAGAAGUUUGGAGGAGUUGAGUUCAACCAUGGGGCUUGCAUUUGGGGUCUUGGAGCACCAGGUCUACGCGAGGGGUGGUGAGCUCCUGCUACAGCAGUAGCAGUUGUCCUGUGGGUAUGGUGUGGGGUGGGAUGUAGGAAGUGCAGAGUCUGAUUCAUGCUCAGUUUUUCAGUGAUUUGAAUUAUGGCUCUUGGCUAUUCUCUGUUUCUCCUGACAGAUAACAGGGAAGGGGCGUUCAUCUUGCCAGGUGGCCGCCAUCUGGAAUGGGAUGUAUAGCUCCCUCCAAAGCAGCACGGAGAAGUCACCCGAGGAUGGGCUGUUUUUGCCAAUUUGUCUCAUGUUGUGCUUGUGUGGGGCCCAACAUGGUCCUGAACGUGGCUGGAUCCUCCUCCUCUUGUGACAAUGUGAAGCUAGGACGAUGCCCUGUGUGUCUGGGGACCUCUCUGCCCUGGGGACAGAGGGCGAGCAAAGCCAUGAGGCUCUGGGACAACGUGGGUGUCCCCAACCACCAGCCACAAUGCGGGACCAUGCAGCAUCCCUGUGCUCCUGCCACGUCCCACAUCCAAGCACCAGCAGCAGUGCUCUCGCUAAGAGUAAUGAGCACAGCCCCUUCUCUGUUGAUCCCUCCAUUGGGACUCUUGGGAUUGGUGACACCAUGCAAGUCACGGUGGAAUUCCACCCGCUGAAGACCGGGGACCAUUCCAGCUCCCUGCAGGUUCACUACGACACAGGUGAGUGCGAGGCCGUGCGUGUUCCUUCGGGACACAGCCCUCCCCAAACCGAGUGGUGUUAAGUUUGCCUCCCGUGCCAGUCACCGGCUGUUGCUCCUCAUUGUCCCAGCCAGCUCCCUUCCCUCCCAGGCAAAGAAACACAAAAAGAUCCCAUGUGGACAGGACGUGGACAUCCACCUGGCUCCUUGUUGUGGCCUCCUGGAGCCCCAUGCAGCCUCCAGGGGGAUGAAGCCAGGAUUUCACUCCUAACUCUCAGUACAACGCUCUGGUUACUUUUAAGCAAACCACUGACUGAGGAGCAGAGCAAGGGAAUAAUUAAGGGAUUAUCUCUUGAGCUCGGCAGCAUACAAAUAAGUAAAAAGGCUGCGGAGUUUAAUUGCUGAAGUGAAACCCAACCAUUUAAUCAAUCAUUCUUAAAAGCCGCUCAUCGCAGGUGCGGUGCGGAGCCCCAGGCGACGUGCCCCAGCCUUGUCCGGCACCGAG
rnacentral:lncRNA from 1 species